rnacentral:rRNA from 1 species
UACGAAGGGGGCUAGCGUUGCUCGGAAUUACUGGGCGUAAAGGGUUCGUAGGUGGCUUGUUAAGUCAGACGUGAAAUCCCUCGGCUCAACCGGGGAACUGCGUCUGAGACUGAUGAGCUCGAGUGCAGGAGAGGAACGCGGAAUUCCAGGUGUAGCGGUGAAAUGCGUAGAUAUCUGGAGGAACACCGGUGGCGAAGGCGGCGUUCUGGACUGCAACUGACACUGAGGAACGAAAGCCAGGGGAGCAAACGGG